CAAAUGAACAUUUACUAAAUACCUGUAAAAUUGGGGUAGCCAGUAUGACUUCUUAAAUAUUAAAGAUCAACUGGCAAAGAUAUGAGAAAAUGUGGGUGCUUUUUUUAAUAAUAUGUAUGCUUUAAAUAAGUGCACAGAAUCAGGCUUGCUAUUUUGCAGAGUUAAUAGUUUUGUAGGAAAAAACAGUCACAAGAAAUGCCCAUUGAGGCAAAUAUUAAAACUCUUAACUGAAAUUAAAAAUGUUUUUAAGACAAACUCCUUUCUGUGCAUCUGCAGCUUUAACUCUUUGGUGAAAGUCAAUUAUGUGCAAGCAUUAACUUUAAAGAAAACUUCUUCAGAGUGUCUGGUGCAUAAAGUGAAGUAAAGCUGCAUGUUUUCCAGUCUGAUGGCAGUAAUGCAGGUCCUCUAGAAAGAAAGCAACGAACAAGUUUUCAAGUUUGCCUGCAGUGGCUGAGAUGACUCACUCAUGUCACAGGGGAUAAUUUCACUGCAACCAUUGAGAAUUUUGUUAUUUUCUUUCUGGGAGAAGGAAUAGAUGGGUUUAUUUUAAGUACGGGGGCAAAGGGAUUGUUAGUGGGAAUUCUACACAAAACUACACAAGAUGUGAGCUGGACAAGAAUCAUUCAUAUCUUAAGAUAAGUUACUUCAAAAUAUGAGUAUAAUUACUCCUAAAAUGUCACUUUGAGUUGCUUUAUUUUUUAUUUUUAUUUUUUGCUUAGCUUUUUUUUUUUUCUUUGAAGGUAAAGGAAACACUUAAAAUAAUGACUGGGGUUACUGGUAUUUAUACGCCAAGAGUUGUCCUACAAUGCCUCUCUUCAUCUUCAAAUAAACAGAUGACCAUAUGUAAAAUAACCAUUAUAUAGUCUGAGUAUUUUAAAUCUGGCUUUUAUGUUUGAAAUGCAUCUAAUAUCACCUACAAAGAUCAGCGCUGCUAUCCUCAAGCUCCUGCUUUGCUUGAGAGUCCACAAAAGACACAGAAAACUAGGCUGCAUCCUGUGCACCUGCCUUCCUGUCAAGAAACUUACCUCAGGCUAAUGCAUGCAGAGGGACAGGUCAGAUUGUGUGAAGGUUCUAUGCAAACUGCCCAAGAUCACUUGGGGCCCCACUGGCAUCACUGAAAGGCAUUGCUGGGUUUACGGUCUCCUGAAUAGCUCCAACCUGUUGUUGAGAGUCAAGCCACGAUGUAGAAAGAAUCGCUGCACUUUCCCAGGGCUGCUCCGCAGUGUGAGUGGCCACUAGCUCUCUUUUCCUAUGACCCCAGUGCUGUUUGGGUUUGCUCUCCAGAAGAACAGGUAGAUACAUUUGCAGCUGGCGGGGGCACUGCUUUAUUGCCUAUUGUGGAAUGCGUGCCAAAUAAAAACCAUCGUGAUUUGAAAUCGGCAAUCUUAUAUGCUUUUCAGGUUACUCGGAUGUUCAAACACACGUAACCAACCAUCAAUAUGAGAAAUUCUCCUUUAAGCUGUUAGUGUAUUACAGCCUGUGACUUUUCAACUCGGGGAAUGAUACUCAUUUCUCUAUCUGUUCCAUACAGAACAACUUUUUCUUUAUUGCAUUUAGAAUGGUGUAACUGAAAGGCAAUAAGGAAAGGCAAUAUCAUUGAGUGGUUCACAUUACGCUGAAUUUUAUUGUAGUCUGGCAUUGUGAGUGAACUUUUGGAAUCCUUGAAAGCAGCAUAAAGGCAGAGCCUGCUUCUAAUGGACUGAAGAAAAAUAUUCUGACAUAAUGAUAAGUGGGGUGACUUCUAGAAAUCAUGACUUGAAACAUUUCUGAACAAAUGCUAUUUCAGUUGUCCCAAUGCACAGAGUGAUAUUGAAACAGCCUGCUAUAGGCCAGAACCACUAAUUUUUUUCCCUAAGGGCAGAACUUCAUUUUUAAAGAUAUAGAAUGAUCCACAACUCUAAAUUCCAGCUAAAAUUUCUUUUCUUCCAUUCUCCUCCAAUUAUUCUCCCAAGCUAUUACAUCAGAGGUAUUAGAAUUUAGGUGCUAUGAUCAUAUUUACUUUAAUAUGUUUAUUUUCCAAUUGUAAAAUGGACACAUAAGAGAUUUUUAUAAUUAUCAAAUGGCUAAUUUUUAAACAAUAAGUCUUUUUAUUGUCUUCAUUCUCUGCUUUUGAAAUAUAUGGAGUUGCAUAUUCUUAAGUUUUGAAUUGUUUUAGAGAACUAGUAUAGAUGUAUUUUUCACCUCCUAUGAGAAUUUCAGGAGCAGUAAUAAAGGGCAAACCAACACAGGGACAUCUUUGUUUUGGGUUAUUUAAAGGAUACACCAUUUAAUCUUUCAUACAGUACUGAAAAUAUUCGUAACAGUUUUCUAGUUUAAAGAUACUUUAAUAUUUAAUGUAGUAUUUUAAUUACAUUUUUAAAAAUAUGUUUUAAAAAGAAAAUGUUUAAAAAUAUUUUUAAAAUUUUAUUCGAUAGCUUUUAAUAUUACUAAUAAUGUACUAAAAUAAGAAAAUGGGUGAGAAUGAUGGUGAAGCCAUAGCAAAGGCAGAGACAUGUCCUUUCUGCAAAAGUGACAACAGGGUAAGCAGGCUAUGAGGACUCAGCCCUCUGAACAAUCUUUGCAUCCCUGAAUGAUCUCUAAUGUUCAUUAGGCUUGUGUUACAGAUGCUUGUUUUCCUCUCUUUCCUGUAAGGCCUUGCAGUAAUUUAAAGUAACCAGAAUAUGUUUCCAUUCCUUGUUACCUGAAAAAGUCAAACAUACUCAUGUUAUACAGGUAAAAUGGAAUGGUACAUUAUGUGAAAAUUAUUUGUAAACUGUCAAAUUAUGUUCAAAUAUGAGGUAAGAUCUGAGAAGCUUAGGAUAUAAGUUAGUCUCAAAACUUAAAUGCUUUUCAAGGGAAAAUUUAUUUGGUGAUUAACUAGAAUUUUAGUUGCAAUAUGUAAUCCUUGACUUUUUGAAGUAGCCUAGAGGUGGUCAGGACUUGUAGAUUACAAUAGUCCUUUACUUACUUGAAUAUUGAUCUGGUAGUACUGAAUACUGAAUACUGACAAUUUAAACUCUUUGGCAGAAAGUGCUCUUAUAAAACUUCUAGAAAAUUUAUUAUUUUAAAAAUUUUUAUUAUGUAUUUAUUGUGCACAACAUGAUGGGUGUGUUUGUUUGUUUGUUUGUUUUGAGACGGAGUCUUGCUCUGUCACCCAGGCUGAAGUGCAGUGGUGCCAUCUCAGCUCACUGCAACCUCCACCACCUGGGUUCAAGCAAUUCUCUGCCUCAGCCUCCCGAGUAGCUGGGAUUACAGGUGCCUGCCACCACGUCAGGCUAAUUUUUGUAUUUUUAGUAGAGACGGAGUUUCACCAUCUUGCCCAGGCUGGUCUUGAACUCUUUACCUUGUGAUCCACCCGCCUCAGCCUCCCAAAGUGCUGGGAUUACAGGCAUGAGCCACCGUGCCCAGCCCACAACAUGAUGUUUUGAAGUAUACAUACACUGUGGGAUAGUUAAGUCUAGCUAAUUAACAAAUGUGUUACCUCACAUAGUUAUCAUUUUUGUACUGAGAACACUUAACAUUCACCAUCUUCUCAUUUUUAAAUAAUGUAAUCUAUCGUCAUUAACUAUAGUCACCAUGCUGUACAAUAGAUCUCUUGAACUUAUUUCUCCUAUCUAAUUGUAAUUAUAUAUCCUUUCAUCCACAGUCAUAUUGAUGAUUAUUUAGCAUAAAUUGUUAACAAAGAUCUUUUUCUAUUUUAGAACAGAUUGGAAGAAUGCGAAAUGUUAUUAGACACAGGCACAGCAUAGCAGUAGAAACAUCUUAACUGAGAACUUGGAACUGAAAGAGAAAGCAACCAACUUAAAGGGCAGACAAGACACAUGGUUAUGUAACACAGCAGUGGGUAUUCACAGUGAUGACACAAGACAAAACAAUUACAUUUUCAUUCUAAAAGUAAUUUUUAAGGAGGCAAGGGCAUUUAUAAAACAUUUUAGAAACUAUUUAAUAAAAAUGGUAAAAUUAAAGUGUUUGUUUAUGUACUCAACAAAUAUUUAUUUGGAAAGUGCAUGCCUGGGGGCACAUCUCGUUAAUGAGGUGAUCCUGUGUUUAGAACUGAAGGCAGUCCUCAUCCAUUCUCUCAAAAGGUGACCUUCUUUGUUCUUCUUAUAGCCUCACCACAUUUAAUUUUCAGAGGUUUUGACAUAAAUUAAAAACAUUCUUUGGUAGAUUGUAUUGUAUGAAAACAAUCUUCAAAAGUGUAAGCAUUGAUAUCUGGAAUAUCUGGGAAAAUGUACAAUAAAGACAUCUCUUCUGGUCUUCCUCUGAUGGUAAUGUGUUCACUAUUAUACUGAUGAUGUAAGCUAUGUAUGUAAACCUAUGCAGGUAAAAUUCUGCUAAAGCCAAUCCCACUACAAAACAACAACAACAACAAACCCCAAGUGGCAUCUGAAGAGCUUGGGAAUUCCAGGAAUGUGAUAAAAAUGUUUUUAAUAAUACACGGAAAAAUAAUUUAGUGUGUAAAUAAUAUUUUAUAGUAAAUGCUUCAUUUUAUUCCUUCCAUAUAACAACUGUCUUCUGUAAUGAAAAUACUUACUUGUUUGUUUAGUGUCUAAAGGUUGAGAAGGGAACUAGAAUUGGCCUAAGGAGGCCCUCAGCCACCCAUCAUGUGACAGUAUGGCCAGGAGGACUUACUCUCUGCUCUCCUCCUCUUGACAUGCCUCAAACACACCAAUCAUUUGCACUUGGGAAAUCAACCCUCACUAGCAAAUUACUCCUGCCAACAAAAUAACCCAAUCAGCAUGCAAAACUGGUAGCGAGCUGGGAGAGGGCGAUGAGAGUGGUGUUCACAUGGCUCCCUCUGUUUCCCUUUCCCCAGGUCUGGGCACACACUGUCAGUCAGUGGCCCCUGACUCAGAAAGAGGUUUGAUUUAAACCAUUUCAUUUUCUGCUCUCAGACUGGGAAUUUAUUUAAUAUGAAUGUCAUCAUUAUAACAAAACUCAACUGUAUUCUAGCAAAAAUUUGGCUGAUCUAUGAAGAAUAUUGGAAGGAGAAUCUGUGAACCCAAAAAUACUAGACCACUGCUUAUUCAGUUCUGCAAUUUUGUCACUUUAAUGGACUCUUCAGAGUGCCAAAUCACUAGUCCUACUGACUAUACAAAAAUUGGCCAUCAACAUGCCUGCCUCCAACAAAUUGUUGCUGUUACUUCAUGUUAUCCACUUUGGGCUUAGAGACUGAAGGCCAAAAAGCAUCCAAUUUUUAUGGUAAAAAAGUGCAUCAGGAGGGCAACUACAUACAAAGUUACCCUCCCAGUUUGACCCUGUCCUUAAGUUUUUAUUGCCUGAACUGGCACCAAAGAAACUCCUUGAAAAUAACACAUUCCUUGUCCAUUCAGUGGUUAAUGAUGCUUAAAAAAAAUCACAGUUUGUGACUGUGACCUAAAUUAUGCCAGAAGCUGUAAAACCAUGGUUUCUUUAAAUUCAAAUAUGACCCACAUGCUUUAAAACCACUACACUGACCCUAUAGUACUGUUGCUGAGUGUGCGUGUCCUCACAUAAACACAGACACACACACACACACACACACACACACACACACACACUCCCCACUUGGCAUUAAAUGACUCGAUAAAAGAAAUGGUAUUUUUCAGACUUCCAUGUUAAAAAAAAGGCUCAUGAAAGAGAUGUAAGUGAGCUUUAAGCCAAACAUUUGUUUGGCUUUGCUGCAGCAGGCUGCAGGAAUGUAAACUUUUUUUUUUUUUUCAAUGACUUCAGCUCCUAAUUUGAAAGCUAGGAUUUUUAGGAGUGAGCAAGAGACUAUAUUUGGCCAAAAAAUUCUGCUGGCUUUACUUAGCCAAUCUGCACAUUCAAAACAAUACUUCUUUAUCAAAAAAACAAUAGUCUGUUUUAUUCACAGCACAUGUAGAAGUUGGAACAUCGACUAAAUUCCACUUUCUUCUCUUGCAGUGUGUCUGUAACCAGCUAAUGAGCUGCAACAGAGCCUGGCCUUCAUUUUCAGCAAAUUAAGUUCAUCCCUCAUAGGAAUUGUGGUCUGGCUGUGGCACCGCUCCUAGACAUGACAAACUCCAAAAGGAAACCCAAGCAGCUAUUUGGCUCCCUUAAUUAAUGAAGUCGCCCAGUAUGGAUAAUUCAGGUUCUCUAAACAUGAAUAUGCCUUUGGGGGAAGACAGAAGAACAUGGAAGCCAUGUGAAAAAAACGGAUCCUAAGGCAGUUUUGAACAUCUGGAGGCCUGAUUUAUUGGAGAUUGCAAAUGUACAGUGUAACAUAGCUGUGGAGAGCGAGAAGAUCAGGAUUGUCAAUGCUGUCAUUGCUUUUACUGGAAUCCCCAGCACGAAUUGAAGGUUUGACCAGAGACAAAGAAGCAAAUGCUAUCAAUUAACAUUCACAUGUGGUAGGUCUCACUUUGCCACCUAGGCUGGAUGCAAUGCAACGGUAUGUUGAUCUUGGUUCACUGCAGCCUCAACCUCCUGAGCUCAUGUGAUCCUCCCACCUCAGUCCCCCACGUCGCUUGGAUUACAGGCCUGUGCCACCACACCUGGCUAACUUUUUUUGUAAUUUUUGUAGAGACAGGGUCUCACUAUGUUUCCCAUGCUGGUCUUUAAUGCCUGAGCUCAAGCCAUCCGCCUGCCUCGGCCUCCCAAAUUGCUGGGAUUACAGGCAUGAGCCACCAUGCCCAGCCUAAUUCUUCUAAAUCUUAUCCUAGUAAUUAAGCCAGAAUUUUUCUCUGCCAAGACCAAUAGAUGGACCAAGAAGUACUCAUCCUUGUAAACUUUCUUUGGAUAAAUUGCUUACAUAUAAUAAAUUCAGAGUUAAGUAAUAAAAAUAAUGAACUACUGUCUUG
rnacentral:lncRNA from 1 species